AUUGAACGCUGGCGGCAGGCCUAACACAUGCAAGUCGAGCGGAUGAAGGGAGCUUGCUCCUGGAUUCAGCGGCGGACGGGUGAGUAAUGCCUAGGAAUCUGCCUGGUAUUGGGGGUUAACGUCGGGAAACGGGCGCUAAUCCCGCAUACGUCCGGAGGGGGAAAUUGGGGGAUCUUCGGACCUCACGCUAUCAGAUGAGCCUAGGUCGGAUUAGCUAGUUGGUGGGGUAAAGGCCUACCAAGGCGACGAUCCGUAACUGGUCUGAGAGGAUGAUCAGUCACACUGGAACUGAGACACGGUCCAGACUCCUACGGGAGGCAGCAGUGGGGAAUAUUGGACAAUGGGCGAAAGCCUGAUCCAGCCAUGCCGCGUGUGUGAAGAAGGUCUUCAGAUUGUAAAGCACUUUAAGUUGGGAGGAAGGGCAGUAAGUUAAUACCUUGCUGUUUUGACGUUACCAACAGAAUAAGCACCGGCUAACUUCGUG
rnacentral:rRNA from 1 species